AUUUUCCUAGUAUAAAAAGUAUAACUAACUUCCAAUUAGUAGGUUUGAUAAUAAUCAAGAAAAAUA
rnacentral:tRNA from 1 species